GACGCGGUGGCCUAAUGGUUAGCGCAUUGGACUCCGGAUCCAGCUUUCCGGGUUCGAGCCCUGGUCUUGGUCA